rnacentral:rRNA from 1 species
UACAGAGGUGGCAAGCGUUGUUCGGAAUCACUGGGCUUAAAGGGCGCGCAGGCGGGCGAAAGGGUGUCUUGUGAAAUCCCUCGGCUUAACCGAGGAAUUGCGAGGCAAACCGUUCGUCUUGAGGCAGGUAGGGGUCGAUGGAACUCUGGGUGGAGCGGUGAAAUGCGUAGAUAUCCAGGGGAACGCCAAUGGCGAAAGCAGUCGACUGGGCCUGUCCUGACGCUGAGGCGCGAAAGCCAGGGGAG